rnacentral:rRNA from 1 species
AGAUUGAACGCUGGCGGCAUGCCUUACACAUGCAAGUCGAACGGCAGCACGGGGGGUAACCCCUGGUGGCGAGUGGCGAACGGGUGAGUAAUAUAUCGGAACAUGCCCUGUAGCGGGGGAUAACGCGUCGAAAGAUGUGCUAAUACCGCAUACGCUCUACGGAGGAAAGCGGGGGUCGCAA